AUGCCAGGAGAGCCCGGAGUUAAGGGUGACCGUGGCUUCGAUGGCCUUCCUGGUUUGCCUGGUGACAAGGGUUAUCGUGGUCAAACUGGAGGAUUGGGACCCCCAGGACCCCCUGGAGAGGAUGGAGAAAGGGUAAUUCUAAACGCUUUGUGCGGUUACAGUAAACUAACAAUAGUGAACAAUGCAUGCUACCUGAACAUCCUCUUGAUCCUUGUUGAUCAUAUUUGCUUGAAUAUCUGUCAUCUUUAUAAAGCAAAAAAAAAAAAAAAAUAA
rnacentral:lncRNA from 1 species